UAGCCCGAGUGUUGCCAAGGCUUUUUUAGG
rnacentral:piRNA from 1 species